ACAAUAUCUGUUGGCGGGCUUGGACUGUUACAGUUUUCUUUGGCUUCCUUACUUUUAUGGCGUUUGUCUUUAUUUAGUAAUUAUUGUUCUCUCGUUACAUAUCAUCCUACUAUUGGUCUAGUACCAUGUGCAACGUUGGCCUGUUCAUACUGUCCCCAUUUUGGUUUCGUAACUGCAUGAUGUAUGUUCUUGUAUGCAUGUUGAAAGGACUGGUUUGCUGUGAUUCUUGGUAGUGACCAGGUUGUUAAAGGGAAACCUGCUUCUUAUCUAGGAUGGCAUCAUUGCCUGACUAAGCUUUUGGAACGUUCUUCAAUUGGGCUGGAAUUGGUACGGCUUAGAUCAUCAAGGUUGUGGUUAACAUAGGAUGGAAUUGCAGUUCCUGCACAAAAAAGAGAAGGAUUUAGAAACUUUGGUCAGUGGACGAAUGUGAUAGCAAAAUAUUUGAGCAGCAGAUGCAACUCAUGCUUAUUAGCUACAUCUGCAGACUGAAUAGCAAGGUAAAGAAUAGAACAAAGCCCUAAACAAUGAGUGACACAACCGUGUUAUUUGAUCGGCAUCGGCAUCGACCAACCAGUAGUAUAUAAACACUUCUUUGUUUGCAAUGUUUUUUACUGUGCUUUUGCCUUCAUGGUGAGUUCUAAGUUUAGAUAUAUGUUAUUACAACAACUCUGGAUUCUGGGGUGCGUGAACAUGAACACUCUAGUCAAGUCCAGUGAUGGCCAGCCAACUCUGCAGCGUUUUCCCCGAACAGACAGAUUAAAACGACGUCGUUUCAGCCCUCCCACACAUCAAUCUACCUAAAUUAUCACUCCUAGCACUCUGCUUUAUAAAUUUUGAAAUAUUAUAUUUUAUUUGCAUGAAAAUUAUUAUGAUUUAUUUUAUGAAGUGAAGUCAUAGUAGGAAAAGGACAAUGAUGGAGAUGAAGGGAGGCAAGUGAAGUCGGUGAGUGACAGACAACCAAUUCCAGCAGUUUCCAUGAACAAAAGAAGAUCAAAACGACAUCAUGGUGCUGGGAGAGCAGCUUACAUUUCAAUAGAGGACAAAGCAGUACCAUCCCCCCACCUUCCCUUUCACCAACAUUUUGCAGUGGCAGCAGAUGGGGGUGAGAGCGAAAGCUAGAGUUCAGCUGUCGUCGCCUCACCAAUUGGCUUGGCUCGGACAUCAGAUUGCUCGUGCCCGCCCCCAUAACCACUCCUGUCCCCUUGUCGAUGGGGAAUCCACUCUCGAGUCGUCGCUCUACUGCGUCUAACCCGGCCUUGUGCAAUAACCCCCCUACGAGCAAAUCAUCCGUCGUCGUAAAGUAGUCUCUAUGAGUGCACGGUUAAGUUUGAUUCUAAACAAUUUGAAUCAUAAGCUAGUGAUGGUUUUAGACUCUUCCCAUCUCAUCUUGAAAUUUGGAUGGAACUUGAGAUCUUGAAUGAGUGUGGUAGCUUUACACUGUUUGAAUCACCGCCACACUGUUCCACCCAAUUUUGGUCAAGCAUUCUUAUGGAUUUAUACUCCAAGUCACAUUUGAAACGUUUAUGA